rnacentral:rRNA from 1 species
AGAGUUUGAUCAUGGCUCAGAUUGAACGCUGGCGGAAUGCUUUACACAUGCAAGUCGAGCGGCAGCGCGGGGCAACCUGGCGGCGAGCGGCGAACGGGUGAGUAAUGCAUCGGAACAUGUCCAUGUCGUGGGGGAUAGCCCGGCGAAAGCCGGAUUAAUACCGCAUACGCCCGAGAGGGGAAAGCGGAGGACCGCAAGGCCUCGCGCGAUUGGGUUGGCCGAUGUCCGAUUAGCUUGUUGGUGAGGUAAAGGCUUACCAAGGCGAUGAUCGGUAGCUGGUCUGAGAGGAUGAUCAGCCACACUGGGACUGAGACACGGCCCAGACUCCUACGGGAGGCAGCAGUGGGGAAUUUUGGACAAUGGGGGAAACCCUGAUCCAGCCAUUCCGCGUGAGUGAAGAAGGCCUUCGGGUUGUAAAGCUCUUUUGUCCGGAGCGAAACGGUUACGGUGAAUAUCCGUGACUACUGACGGUACCGGAAGAAUAAGCACCGGCUAACUACGUGCCAACAGCCGCGGUAAUACGUAGGGUGCGAGCGUUAAUCGGAAUUACUGGGCGUAAAGCGUGCGCAGGCGGUUUUGUAAGCCAGAUGUGAAAUCCCCGGGCUCAACCUGGGAAUGGCAUUUGGGACUGCAAGGCUUGAGUAUGGCAGAGGGGGCUAGAAUUCCUGGUGUAGCAGUGAAAUGCGUAGAUAUCAGGAGGAAUACCGAUGGCGAAGGC